rnacentral:lncRNA from 1 species
UUUUUUUAGUUUCUUGUCAAGUACAGAACCCUCGUUGGGUGAUUCCCUCUUCACAAUGGAUAUCCUCUGUCAAUUCGGAGAAAACCUUUUUGACUUUAUCUUGUAACUUGAGAUGCAUUUGAACUCAAAGUUGUUUGCUUCAAAUUGUAUGGGAUGCACUCUCCUUUAAUGAAUUCUUGUCAUCCUAUUAACUUCCCAAAUUAUCUGCCCCAGUUUCACAUGGUUCGGGCUUCAAAUGAUCUCAAAAUGUCCAAAUAUGUACUUAGUUCCCUCGAGUGUCCCUAUCAUCUUCAAAAUUGUUUCAUUGCUUCAUGAUUAAUCUAACUUUUAAGACCAGGCCUAACAAUAUGUGUGCAUGUCAUGUCACUAGAGCCAGCAUGAAAAGAACUAUAAAGAGAGGAGAGAUUUAAACAAAAAAUGACUAGAAAUAACAAAAAACAGAGAAUUGCAUUAGACAGACGGUGAAAGGAUUUGAACAGCAAAGCAAACAAAAUAAACUAGGUUACAACCCUGGAACAAACCUAGAUAACACUGAAUGAGUUACUACGACUAAAAGAACUAGGCAAAGUAAAAGGAUAGAAGAGUUUGAAUCACAAGGCAAUAUUCGGAUUACAAACUUGAAAUAACCCAGACAACAGAAAUGACAACAAAAUGAACCACCAAGAUUCCUUCCGGGCUAGCCAAGAAAGGAGCGUCUUUCCAAUUACCAAGCUCGGCAUCUUAGCCACUGAGUUUCACAUCAAUAUUAUCAAUUUCAAUCACAUUGACCUUAGCAAAUAGCUUUUGGGUCUCUUUUGCCAACUUGUUCUUAAGAUCAAUUUUUGGAACUGAGACUGAUAGCGCUGAAAACUUUGUGGCAAGUGGCCCUCCAAGGAUAUCAGAAGAACUCUCAUAUUCCUUUUCAACACAAAUCAUACCCACCAUAUGCGUCUCAUUAUGAACAGUCGAUGGACUUUGGAUAGUGUCUACUGCAUCUAGAUUUUGCACGAUUAUGUCACAUGCAUCAAUAAGCUUCUGAACUGCUCUUUUCAGAUGCCAACACUUUUCUGUGUUGUGACCCGGGGCAUUAGAGAAAUAUGCGCACUUUUGAGAAUAAUCAAAAUUCUUUGCAAGAGGGUUUGGCAUUUUUAUCUGAAUCGGCUUUAACAUGUCCAAUUGCCUCAACUUUUGGAACAAACUAGCAUAUGAUUCUCCAAUAGGAGUGAAAGUCUUUUCUUUUUCCUACUGUCUUUUCAUUUUGUACUCCGGCCUCUAUUGGAACCUCCUACGGGUAGGUGAUUGACAUUCUUGAGGAGGCGGGUACGAUAUUUGUGGAGGUUGUGCAAGCCAUUGCGGAUCUCGUGGGUGUGGAGCAUACGGUGGUGCAUUGUGGAUAGAGUACUAGGAAGGUGAGGCAUGACCUUGGUGAUUUUAUGGAGGAAAGUAGCACUGGGAAGGAUUAUCUGGAGUACGAGGAUAUUCAUGGGGUCGGUAUUGAGGCUGAAAGCGUUUAGCAGGACUGCCCAUUGGAUCCUAUCGUUGGUGGGACUCAACAACAUCCUUUCUAUCAAUCGGAGAACUGACCCAAGCAACUUGUUCGUUCCAUCUGAACCAAAAUUCCCUAAAACUUUCCUUGGGUUUCUUUCCCAUCUGAGAUAGGGAGGAUUGGUCUGGGACAAUGUCUAUACUGUACUGAAAGUGUCGCAUAAAAUCUCGAGCCAUGUCAUCCCAAGUAUGAUAUUUACCGACAUCUUGACGAGUAUGCCAUUCCAAAGCUGCCCCAGUUAGACUCUCACUGACAUAUGCCAUCAGCAACUCAUCUUUCCCGCCAACACUUCUCAUUUCACUGCAAUAACCCCUCAGAUGGGCUUCUAGAUCUCCACGCCCAUCAUACAAAUUAAACUUUGGCAUCUUAAACCCUUUCAACUUUCUAGAUAUCUCAUCUUGCUCCACUGUCUUAAUAGGUUUAGUAAUCUCACUGGGAGGCUCAAAAUGAGGAGUGUGAGAGUAUGGAACCAAGACCUUGAAAGUUGGUUCUGGAGCACAGUGUUGGGCAUCGGGAUUUUGAACACAGUCCAGCUAGAGGAUCGAGGAAAGGUAGUAGGUAGAUGAGCUACAAGAACAUGAGUGGUCAAAGGAACGGGAUAUGAGGUGGUUCUGAGGGGUGGAGUGUGAAAAGGUUGUGGGGAGAUAUCCUGGACUUGUGACAGUGGCGGAAUGGUGACAAGGCUUUCAAUAUAGUUAGUGGGAACUGAUGGUGGAGGACGCCCACUAAUCCAGGCUUGGUAUAUUUCGGCCAUCUAUCCUUUCAACCUUAAGACCUCUUUUUCAACUCAAAUUUUGAUUCGACAAUUCCCUUAAACGGAUCAAUAACACCCGCAUCUAAGUCCUUGCUGGCCAUGGCUACCUUGCUCUUUGACCUUAUGUUGUAUGGAUGAGUUAUUUAAAAACCACAAACCAACCACCCUUCUACUCAAUGAAGAUAACAAAAGGAACAAAAUGGGGUCAUUCUGUUACCAUUAGGGCAUUUAACAGCUAAAAAUAUCACAUUGCGUGCAAUGCACCUAGCAACAAUUAACGGUUUUAGAAUGACUUCGAGGGUCACAAGGUCACUUGGCAUCAUCUCAAUUUUGUUCAUUUCAAUCUUCUCUUUCUUUCUUUUCUAGAACUUCUUGGCUUGCUCAUUUUCCUUCCUCUUUUUUCUUCUAAUUAUCAUUCUUUUCUUUCCUCUCAUUUCUCACGUCCCAUAAUUUCACCUCUCUUUUUUUCUUUUUUCUUUUUCUUUUAAUUUAAUUUUUAAAAAAUGAUUCGAUCGAACCCGAUGUAGGUUGCCUACGUAUCAUGACGCCGCAUGAAUUAGAUCUUUGUGUAGCUCGGGCAUAUUGGAUACAGGCGAGAAUAAAAAAACGACUAAUUUAGAGAAAAUAUAUUUUUUGGCUUUUAUGAAAAAUGAUGAAACAUGUAAACUCUUUUUGGAUUCUCUUUUCCCCUUUUUUUGAUUUUUUUUUUUUUAUUUUUGAAAAUUGAUGGGAAAGUGCAAAAUCUUUAUGGAUUUUUCAAAUAUAUUUUUUUGGUCUUUUUCUUUAAAACAAAUGUGAAAGAAAAACAUAAUUGGGCCCUACUUGCUUUAUUUUCACAGUUCACCUUCUUUUCUUUCUCAUUUACCCUCAGCCAUCAUUGGUCCGCCAAAUGACCCUUUUACCCAUGAAGAAAUGCAACAUGUAGCACAUAGGAUGCAUUAGUAUGGUCUUUUAUUUUUAGGUACACCUGUCCUGGACCGACCCAACCCCUGUGUUGAGUCCCCUAAGUCAAAUGCACGUGAUGCAACAAACGUUCCUACUAGGGAUCUGGCAUGAGCUUAUGUUAUUCUAGGUUUAAAAACUUAGGUUUAUUUUUUCUAGACCUGGCUUACCCGAGCGGACAGCUCGAGCCCGGAGGGGGGGGGUAGCGUAUCAGGUAUACAUAAGCUUCACCGGUUUUGCAACUUGUCUGAACCUCGUUCUAAAAUUGGGAUAUGAAUAUAACAGAAGAGGAGUCACACGAAGUGCACACUUCCCACAUGAUUUAGAAGACUCAGAGAGGAGUGUUUCGUAACAAUUUAUAUAUAGUACAAACAAUAUCAAAGAGUUAAAAAAAGGCAAUUAUCACAUUAGGCUCAAACAUAUAAAAAUCAGAUAAUAAAUAAAAGCCAACUAUAACAGUUAUUCUAAGCUCAACUUCUAAACCCUGAACUAGAAGUUCUGGGCUCUUGUCCCCAGCAGAGUCGCCAGAGCUGUCACACCUUCUUUUUACUACACCUCGUAAGGGGUAUAAGGGAGUUUUUUCCAAUUUAAGUAACAAUCGAAGCAGGAUUAUUUUAUUUAAAAUUCAGAGUCGCCACUUGGGAUAAUUUAUAGUGUCCCAAGUCACCGGUUUAAAAUCCUGAAUCGAGGAAAUUGACUCUUAUUUAUGGUCUGCGAACACAGAAAUCCGGGUAAGUAAUUCUGUUAAUCCGGGAGAAGGUGUUAGGCAUUCUCGGGUUCCGUAGUUUUAGCAUGGUCGCUCAACUAUUAAUAAUUGACCUAAUUAUCUGAUUUAUUACAUGUUUUAAAUCUAUUGCAUUUUUAGCUUUAUAACCGCCUUUUAAUUAUUUUAACCGCUUUUAGGAUUUAUGGAAUUAUUUCUUGAACAAGUUACGAUUGUCGUACACUUGUUUGUUUUGGAACACGCCGCGACCCACGCUACAUGAAAUGCACCCGUGAUUCACGACAUGUGUAUUUUAUUAAUAUUCGAAGUUGUUAUGACCGGGUUACAUGAAAUGCACUCUCGUAUUUGGGAGUUAGGUAUCAUGACUUUGCCACGGGAACCAUACCCAUAGUCAUGAUAAUUUAUUUAAUCGUGCCUAAAGCAACUAGCGCCUUUGAAUUAUUUUCCUAAACUACCAUUUGAGAUAAAAUGACGUAAUCACAUGAAUAAACAAUUCGCUAGCUAAACCAGUAAGGGAGCUCAACAACUAAAUGAAAUAAAUUGUAAAAAAAACCUACUUCAUUCACACAAAUUUUAUAAAGAACAGAAGCAUGUAGUCAUAAGUAUAGACACGUUUGUGUGGCUUACAUAUAUAUGUUAGAAUUGAAAAAGACUCUCCUAUACAUGAUUUUUUUAUAUAAUAUAUAUGCUUAUAAUACACAGUUGGAGAGGUAAAUGAACAAAAUGUGCUUCUUUUAUGUUUUAUUAUUAUUUUUGCCUCAUUUAACUACACCUCUAGCAGAGACAGAUUUUGAUGCCAUUGCCAAGUUAGUAAAGAAAAGCAAGGUCAGAACUACUUACUAGCAAUUUGAUAGAAAAAUAAUUUUUUCACAAAUUACCACCGAGCAAUGUAUCUUGUGGCCAAUUUUAAUAAUAAUAAAAAAUAUUUUUAAAAACAAACAUAAAAUCUUACAAUUUAUUUAAGAAAAAUAAGAGCUAGCUAGAAUUAUAAAAGCUAAUACUAACUAAAGAGCUGACGACAUGUUCUAAGUUAAUUAAACAAUAUGAAAAAUAAAGAUAGUUACUGACAACUUUUCAGUAAAAUUACCAUUACCGUAUGGCUCUCUUAUUCAAAAAUGUAGUAUCAGAAGCCAAUACAUAUGGUCAUAAUCUCAUAACAAAUCAGAUCUACGCAUACGAACAGAAAUACAUACCUAGCUGUGCGAAAAUUGGCUAAAAACACCAAAUGAAUAGACAAAAGGACCAAAUGAAGCUCAACAAAAAAGCAACUCCAUGGCUCAAAACAACCUUUAGAAACCCAGAAAGAAAGGAAAAUUUCGAAAUCAGUUCCCUUCAAAUCCCAUUGACAAUUCCAGUUUUCUCAUUUCUCUUGUUUCAACAAUUUUGUGUGUGCUUCUGAUUUUUUUUUUUUUGAUCAAUUUCUUUUUUUGAUUUUUUGAGUGAGGCCAGAGAUGGGUGGCUAAGAUUUUUUGGAAGGGGAGGAUUUUAUCCUCUUUGUCUGUGGUUUUUUAGAAAAGAAGAAGAAGGAGAACGAAAGGGAAGGUGCGCCGUUUUUUGCUUUUUUUCUUAGUCUCGGUCUAGAUCUAGGAUUUAGGCAUUAUUUUAUAUGGGUACAUGAAAUUAUUUUCGUGUUUUCAAGAUUAUAUAAAAAUUAAAAUAAGGUAUUAUUUUGUAUUUUUUUUAAUUUU